rnacentral:rRNA from 1 species
GACGAACGCUGGCGGCGUGCUUAACACAUGCAAGUCGAACGGAAAGGCCCUGCUUGCAGGGUACUCGAGUGGCGAACGGGUGAGUAACACGUGGGUGAUCUGCCCUGCACUUCGGGAUAAGCCUGGGAAACUGGGUCUAAUACCGGAUAGGAGCCAUUUUUAGUGUGAUGGUUGGAAAGUUUUUUCGGUGUAGGAUGAGCUCGCGGCCUAUCAGCUUGUUGGUGGGGUAAUGGCCUACCAAGGCGGCGACGGGUAGCCGGCCUGAGAGGGUGGACGGCCACAUUGGGACUGAGAUACGGCCCAGACUCCUACGGGAGGCAGCAGUGGGGAAGAUUGCACAAUGGGCGCAAGCCUGAUGCAGCGACGCCGCGGGGGGGAGGACGGCCUUCGGGUUGGAAACUCCUUUCGCUAGGGACGAAGCUUUUUGUGACGGUACCUAGAUAAGAAGCACCGGCUAACUACGUG